rnacentral:rRNA from 1 species
CCUACGGGAGGCUGCAGUGGGGAAUAUUGGACAAUGGGGGGAACCCUGAUCCAGCCAUGCCGCGUGUGUGAAGAAGGCCCUCGGGUUGUAAAGCACUUUCAGUGAGGAAGAACGCCUGGUGGUUAAUACCCAUCAGGAAAGACAUCACUCACAGAAGAAGCACCGGCUAACUCCGUGCCAGCAGCCGCGGUAAUACGGAGGGUGCGAGCGUUAAUCGGAAUUACUGGGCGUAAAGCGCGCGUAGGUGGCUUGAUAAGCCGGUUGUGAAAGCCCCGGGCUCAACCUGGGAACGGCAUCCGGAACUGUCAAGCUAGAGUGCAGGAGAGGAAGGUAGAAUUCCCGGUGUAGCGGUGAAAUGCGUAGAGAUCGGGAGGGAUACCAGUGGCGAAGGCGGCCUUCUGGACUGACACUGACACUGAGGUGCGAAAGCGUGGGUAGCAAACAGGAUUAGAUACCCUUGUAGUC